rnacentral:antisense_RNA from 2 species
CUUCACCGAGCCCAGCCACAACGGCCGCUCCGCGUCGUGCGCCCGCCCGUACGUGGCGCUCAGCGCGUCGGCCUC